UAUUAAGUUUUAUUUUGACUGCUUUUCAACGAGAGAAACUGAUACUAUAAAACUUCUUUAAACACAUGCUGACAAUGGGCACUGACAUAUUUAGCCAAGUAUGUAGCCUCUAGUUAAGCUACAUAAUCUAGUUUUCUCAAGUUCAUCUAGUAGCACCCGCAUCAAUGGUUUUUUCUAUGGGUCUCUUAAUUAAAAUAUUAAGAAAGAAACAAAAAUAAAAGACAAAAGUGUUGUUUCAAAAAAAAAAGAGCGAAAUUUUUUUUCUUCAAAAUAGUUUCAACUUAUUUUGAGAAUUUCUCUGACACGGUCACUUUUUCAUUGGUAUAACUGUUUUAAAAUGUUAAAAUUUAGUUGUAUAAAUAAAUUUUUGAAAAAAUAUUCAUAUAUUAGUGUUGAGAGAUUCUCCACUAAUGAUGCUUUAUCCCCUGGUGGCAACUGAUUAAGAUGGAAGUCGUGUCAUAAGGUGCCUGCAUUGGUAAUAAAAUGAAAACAAAAGGAAAAUAAUCUCUGGUCAAUGUGGUCAUACUAAGAUGGUUAGGUAUCCAAAUUAGAAAAAUUUGAACUUGAUACAUAAGAAAUUAGAAUUUCAUACCUUCCAUAUUUUUACAAAAAGAAAAAAUCAAUAAAGAUUUAUUACUUACAGCACCAUUAUCCAUGUAUGUUAGGAGGUCUCUUAACACAAAUUGUGAUUAAAAGAAAAAAGACAAUUAAAAGAAGAGACAUCUCCUAAUUUGGGACUAGAAGAAACGUCCCUUAGAGGACACGUGGCAGGAGGCGAUUGGCUUGUGCUCUAAUGAGAAGGGAACAGAAGGUCGACGAUGAUGGCGAUGGAGAGUUUCAGAAUGCAGUUGGAUUCGUGGGGAUGUUGCUUUCGCAUAAGAUUCAUGGAGCAUUUAAAGGUGCAGUGGAGAGAAUGACUGGUCCUCGAACAGUCUCAGCUUUCAAGGAGAAGGGAGUUCUCAGCGUCAGCGAGUUCGUUCUCGCCGGUGAUAAUCUCGUCUCCAAGUGCCCUACCUGGUCAUGGGAAGCUGGUGAUCAAAGCAAGAGAAAGUCAUACUUGCCUUGAGAAAAACAGUUUUUGAUUACUAGGAAUGUUUACAGUAUUUUCUCAUACCAUUUUGUACGCCAGCCACCGAGAGAGAGAAGACAGUGAGGGAGAUGGCGGCGAAGAGAGAAUUCCUCGACUUGACGGGGAUUCCUUUCCCCAGAGGCAACUCUUCAGUCGAAUAUUCUUGUGGCUCAAGAACCAGAUGACGAUAGUAUCCUGCGGACCAGAACAUAGGAUGUUAGCAUCACGUGAAAAAGAGUGAAAGAGAGGAGCAUUGGGAGUGGAAGGAUCACGGAAGCUUGUAAUCUUGUGGUCCUAUCGUCUGUCGUACUGAAGCUUGUGGUCAUAUGUAAUCUUGUCUCUCACGGAAGCUUGUAAAAGCUUGUAAUCUUGUACUCUCUUUUGUUGUUGGAAUGAAAUUGUUUUAUAAUUUUUUUUAAGAACCCAUAAUUAAAAGACUUGUAAUAAACCACUUAAAUGUUCAAAUCUCUUUCUAAGUC